rnacentral:rRNA from 1 species
AUUGAACGCUGGCGGCAGGCCUAACACAUGCAAGUCGAGCGCGCGGCGGACGGGUGAGUAAUGUAUGGGGGAUGCCCGAUAUAGGGGGAUAACUCCUGGAAACGGUAGCUAAUACCCCAUACUCUCUCAUAACCCCUAUGGGAUUAGCUCGUAGGUGAGGGAAUGGCUCACCUAGGCGACGAUCCCUAGCUGGUCUGAGAGGAUGAUCAGCCACACGGGGACUGAGACACGGCCCAGACUCCUACGGAGGCAGCAGUGGGGAAUAUUGCACAAUGGGCGCAAGCCUGAUGCAGCCAUGCCGCGUGUAUGAAGAAGGCCUGAGGGUUGUAAAGUACUUUCAGUCGGGAGGCGUUACCGACAGAAGAAGCACCGGCUAACUCCGUGCCAGCAGCCGCGGUAAUAC